rnacentral:rRNA from 1 species
UAAGGAAUAUUGGUCAAUGGACGCAAGUCUGAACCAGCCAUGCCGCGUGGAGGAAGAAGGUCCUCUGGAUUGUAAACUUCUUUUAUUUGGGAUGAAAUUCUCGCAUUCCUGCGGGAUUGACGGUACCAGAUGAAUAAGCACCGGCUAACUCCGUGCCAGCAGCCGCGGUAAUACGGAGGGUGCAAGCGUUAUCCGGAUUCACUGGGUUUAAAGGGUGCGUAGGUGGGCAGGUAAGUCAGUGGUGAAAUCUCUGGGCUUAACCCGGAAACUGCCAUUGAUACUAUCUGUCUUGAAUACCCUGGAGGUGAGCGGAAUAUGUCAUGUAGCGGUGAAAUGCUUAGAUAUGACAUAGAACACCCAUUGCGAAGGCAGCUCACUACGGGAAUAUUGACACUGAGGCACGAAAGCGUGGGGAUCAAACAG